GGGCAUAUGGUGUAGUGGUUAUCACUCUUGCUUUGCACUCACAUUGUAAGGUAUUGUAAGCGGUCCAGGGUUCAACUCCCUGUGUGUCCA